rnacentral:lncRNA from 1 species
GUUCUGCUCUUGAUAAAAGUAUAAAACAGCAUCAGGUAUAAAGUAUGGGGAGAAGUGAACAUUGUAAUUAAUAAAGAGAAACCCAUGAGUAAGUGAAUUCAAUAUCAUUACACAAAAAACAGAAGACAUGAUCAUUUUGAUGGUCUAUACUAAUCAAUUGUACAAAAUUUGACCACUAAUUGAUGUUAGUCAUCUAGAGUGUGAGAUUUAUAGCCCAUUCAUUUUAUGUUGGAAAACAUCUUCGGUGCAAGGAAUUGUGAGACCGCCCAUUGGAUGAUCAUAUCCAAACUCUUGCUCGGCUUGACUCAGUAAGUCUUGGAAUGAAGGUUUGUUCAAGUAUGAUAUUGGGAUGACAAACCGCUUAUGCUUCUCUCCAACAUACACUGCAAGAUACCCCUUUGGCACUUCCACACAUUUUGAAGAUGCUUGGAUGGCACUGAAUGAUGCCCUUCGAAUAGCAGGUAAACGGAAACCCAUAUUUUUUGUUUGUUUGAAGGAAGAACAAAGCAAAGUUUUCAAAUCUGAGAAGAAAGUGUGUAAGUUUUAAUGCUUCAAGCUGCAAAUGUCUUAUGUUGGUUGUGAAGGCAAGAGGGUGUUUAUUUAUAGAUUUUAAGGGUCUUUAGAAACUCAAUUCAUAGAGAAAUAAUUGAUGAAGGGGUUAAAGGCUAGGGGCAUGCAUAAGAGAGUUCACAUGGUCUUGUCUAUAGAGGACUCUAUCAAGUACUAAUAACUUGUCUAAGAGUGCAUACCCCACCUUCUCAAAGGAAUGGCCAAAACUGCAACAACUAGCAAUAAAAUGAGUCAUACUCAAAUGAAACCUAAUGUUUGUUCAUGGUUCAUGCAUUCUUUAAUUUCUACUCUGUAUUUUUGUAAACAUACUUUAGACAUCUCACAUGUUUCUUCACAUUAUUAAUGCAUAUACAUCUACCAAUUAAUAUCAAGGUGACAGUAUCAAAUUUGUAAGCCUUGACCAGGACCUGAUUGAUAGCUCUCAAACAUAGUGUUUGGAGGCAAUAAGAGAAGCCAAAAUUGAAUACAUGAUAAUGAGCUACCAUAAACAUAUUUUUUAGGUGUACCAGAUUUCAAGCAACGCCCCGUGAAAUAUGACCAAUAUGAACCACAUCAUUUUGAUCCUGCUUGCAUAGUCUAUUUUAACUACUACACCAUUUUGAUCAUUCAGAUAUAAGGAAGUUUUCUGAGACAACACCAUGUGACCUCUUAUAUGCCCUUGUCUCCCAAUAGGUCCCAUGACUCCACCUAUAUAUAUUCAUGGCUUCAACCAGUUAAGAACAACACAUCCUAAAGCACUCAAAUUCAGAAACUUGUAUCUCACUUACUAGUCUUUUCUCAACAAACACAACAAUGGGUUUUCAUUUCCCACUUAUCAGAAGGGCAUCAUUUACUUCAAACCAAGCAUCUACAAAAGUUGCGAAUGUGCCGAAGGGCUACAUAGCAGUAUAUGUUGGAGAGAACACAAAGCGGUUCGUGAUCCCAAUAUCAUACUUGAACCAACGUUCAUUUCAAGAUUUACUUGGUCAAGCUGAGGAAGAAUUCGGGUAUGAACAUCAAAUGGGUGGCCUAACAAUUCCUUGUAGAGAAGAUGAGUUUUUGGAUAUUACUUCACAACUUCAAUAACUGCUAAUCCCAUGCAACAUAAAGCCUGAUUAGACUUACAUUACUUAGACACAAUUUUUGUAACAGAUUAAUAACUUGAAAAUAUUGUUCUUUGUCAUUAUCCUACCUACAUGGGUACAAUAUAUGAAAGAGAAAUUUAUCAGCAAUACCAUAUAUUAUUUUUUCGUUUUCCAUCAAAUCUCAGUCUAAAUUUUCUUUGCAUGGUCCUAAAAGAAGGAAAACAAAAAAUAAUCACUAAAUUAGUUUCAAUGAUCAUACUAUAUUGCAAAACCAGGAAAAAAGAUGCAAGUAACUAUUAUGAUUAAUAACGAUGAUUAUAUAUGACAAAAAGAUUAUGAUAGAACAACUUGGUAAAUGCUGCACCCAAAAAAAAACUUAGUGAUUUCUAUACUAAAAAUAAACGUGGUUAUUUGAUAAGUAUUUAGAGGAAGGUUUUUACCGUGCCUAAUUACCAUGAUCCACUUGACUGAAAUAUGGCAGAUAAAUGUGAGAUGUCUUGAGCAUGUCUGAAAAAUUACAAGAAGGCCAUCGGCUAACCAAUUGUUAUCUUAUCGGCUAUUAAGUCUCUUUCUCUACAGGUGGCAACUAAGUUAGCAUGAACUUUCAAAUCUCAAGUAAUCCUUGAUAAAGACCUUGAAGACAAUACCAUGUGAGCUCUUGUCUCAUUAGACCCCAUCAAUUAGCCCCUCAAGUCCUCAACCAUUCAUUUCAGUGGAGAAAUGUUUCCACAAAAACUAGGACUCAGUAUAUCUAUAUAUACACUCAUCUCAUCAUGGCAUUCUCAAGCAAACUAAGUCAGGUACAAUAAGAACUCAAAUAUUUAUUUCUUACACAAUCCCUGAAGUUCAUUGUAUUGUUCUUGUCGUGUAGCAACAUAUAACAAUGGGAUUUCGCAUACCUGGUAUUAGAAGGGCUUCAUUCCAAGCAGCUCCAAAGGCUGUGGAAGUCCCAAAAGGGUACCUUGCAGUCUACGUUGGAGAGAAAAUGAAGCGUUUUAUUAUUUCAAUUUCAUACUUGAGCCAACCUUCAUUUCAAGAAUUACUAAGCCAAGUUGAAGAAGAAUUUGGAUAUGAUCAUCCAAUGGGUGGUCUCACAAUUCCUUGCAACGAGGAUGCUUUCUUAGACCUUGUUUCUCGGUUAAAUAGGCUAUAAAUCAUACUGAAGGAAACUGACAUAGAUUAGUUGAGGCAAAUUGGAAUUGUACAGCAGAAAGUUUCAUUUUUUCUUUUCUUUUUGUCCAUCUUUUGUAACAGUAAAAUGCUUUGCUUUUAAAGCAGUUAUGAAUAGAGGAAAUAUAGUUCUUGAUCAAAUUUGAAUGCAGAUUAUGAGCUAAAUGGACAAAAUCUAGUAUUAUGUCAAAAUAUCAUUUUUUUAUUUCAUUUUAAGUCAUAGAUCCAACAUAAAUAUAUAGCAACUUGGAAUUCAUGCUGCGCAUGCUAUGCUGCAAUGAAGACUAUAGACAUAUAUAUUCAACAUCUCAAUUAUAUUGAAUUCAGGUUGAUUUCACAUUAUUUAACUCACUUGGAGACUAUAAACGAUCAGUAAUCUCAGCUUGAAGCGCAACGCAGGCAUAAGCUGCUCUCAGGAUGCAAUUAUUUUGACAAUAGAAUCUCGGAGAAGAGUGUUUCCUUCUUAUUUCCUUGCCUUUGGGAAUACAAUCUUUAAUCCUGUGGAAAAUUCAAUCACAAAUACAUUUUUUUAAAUUCCUUAUAUGAUUGAAAUUUACAGCAUGCGAGAUGAGUUUCCAUCCUAUCUAUUCAAUAUCUUAAUUCGUUCUUUUAUGUAGAUUUUCUUUUUAUCAGGCAUCGCCAUUGUGGAAGAUGGCAAGCGAAGAUUGAGAGUGUAGCAGGAAACAAAGAUCUUUACUUGAGAACUUUCAGAUAACCAAAUAGUCAUUCUCCAUGCACGUACUCCUAUAUUGGAAUCGAAUUCAAAUAAACCACUGAAUUGUAUGUAAUUAUUUGAAUUAUAGGUGCUGAGGAAGAGGUCUUAUGAUAUAGUUGUGAUAAAACUGAGGUAUUAAUGCAGCCACCAACUAUUUGGUGAGUUUGGUCAUCUUUUUGUAGUUCAUUAUUCCAAGUAAUUUGUAAUUGGGUUGUUUUUCUCCUUUGUAUCUGCCUUCACAACUUCAAGGCUAACACAUCGGAUCAAUCAAGAAGGUAAAACUGCAUGCGUUCCAUAAAAUUUAUUACUACCGAAGAUGACGUUCCAAGCUAGUUUAAUAGAGGUUCAUGAUUUCUAGUUCUAGUAGGUAAUUAUUUUACCAUGCAGACCAAAUCACCAAACAAUUAACACCAGUACAAGGUAUAGCUAAGUUCAUCUAAUAAUGGAAAUUCAUAUGAUUACAACUCUUCCUUUCCACAGUGUCUUUGAAACACUGGGAGAUACUAUUAUAAGAAAUGGUUAAUGAUCAUUUUAAGUUUACAUUUUUUUCAUUUCUUGACAUCCAAAAAGAGCUAAUAAUUUUCUUAAACACACUGUUGCUGGGAACUGGUAAAUGUAAUGCGCGUUAUAAAAUAUUCACAAAAACGCUUAUUAUCGACCAAACACAGUAUCAGCUACCUCGUGAAUGGAUGGGGAGGCUCUUCAGUGCCAAACUCAUUUUGAGCCACAAUAUUAUUUAACUUAUUAUUAAUGGAAUUAACAAACCAUUCUCUGAUUAUGAUAAAGUUGGACAGUGAUCAAGUUCAUGAUGCAUAUUGUCCUGUUCCCUCCUACCAAAAGUUCUAUGAUCUAUAAGUUAUCCACUUCCAUAUAAUUCAAAGGCACAUAUUAGUUACCAGGCUUAUAUCAGCAUUGAGACCUACCUUACCAAAAUGAACAAAAACAAGUGACAUUGUCUAAAUUAUAAAGCAUGUCUACACAAAUAAGGAGUAUUAUUGAAGAAUCAAUGAACAAACAUUAGGUUUCAAUCGAGCACGCGUAAUGUUACUGCAAGUGGCUGCUCCAAUUGCCAUUCCUUUGAAAAGGUGGGGUAUUCACUUUUGGACAACAUGUUAAUACUUGACAAGUUAACAGACAACACCAUGUGAUUUCUCAUCUGUAUGCUCCUCAUCCUUUUAACAAUGAUUUCUCUAGGAAUUGAGUUUCAAGAGACCCUUAAAAUGUAUAAAUAAACACCCUCUUGCCUUCACAAGGAACACAACGCACUUGCAUACUUAAGCAUCUCAAGUUAGGAACUUUCUUCUCACAUUUUAGAUCUUUACCUUGUUCUUCUUCCUGCAAACAAAUAAAAAAGAUGGGUUUCCGUUUACCUGCUAUUCUAAGGACAUCAUUCAACGCGAACCAAGAAAAUUCAAAAUGCAUAGAAGUCCAAAAGGGAUACCUUGCAGUAUAUGUUGGAGAGAAAUAUAAGCGGUUUGUGAUCCCAAUAUCAUACUUGAACCAACUUUCAUUCCAAAACUUGUUGAGCCAAGUUGAGCAAGAGUUUGGAUAUGAUCAUCCAAUGGGCGGUCUCACAAUUCCUUGCAGUGAAGAUGUCUUCCAAAAUAUAAUAUCUCGCUUCAGUGGAUUAUAAAUCUCAAAUUUUAGGUGACUAACAUAAGUAUAGACAUUUUGUACAAUUGGCAUCUUCUAAACUUGUAAACAGAUUACUAUUUGAAAUAACAAAUUCACAAACUGAGCAAUGGCAAUGUAUUCAGUUACUCAAGUAGCUUAUAUUUGUUUUCUGUUUUACUUGCAAAUUACCAUAGUCACUUCUCUCUAUAAUUAUGAACUUAUAAAGUAUGAUUAAGUCUUGUUGCUGUAAGAACAUUAUUUCAAAGCAGCAGCAGAAUAUGCGAUUUCUAGUCAGGGUAGAGCUAAAGUAUUUUUCCUUGAACCAAAGAGAAAGAUAAGUUUAUUGGGAUGAAGUUAAAAUAACUAAAACACAGAGCACACAGAAUUAAAUUUUGGGGGUGACAUGGCCCCGAUCAUACAUUAUCUAUAGUUCCGUAUCUCCAGAUUUUCACUUAUUUCUUUGUCGAUUUUUUAGCUAUGCCUCAAAUUUUCCAUAGUUAAUGAUCAGGGCUGUAUUUAUCAGACUUCAGUGCUAAGUACUUUGAAAAUCAGGACCAAGCCACUCUUUCUGUUGAAGCCUGCAGAAGAGCAUGCUGCAUGCAUUAUGGAUAUAAUUUCAUGCUUGAAGGAUUUAUCGAAUAGAAUGAAGAAGAAUUAUAUCAUCAAGUGAUGGUCUCACCAAAAUUCAGCUUUACCUUUAUGCCUUGGUUUCUAUUAAGACCUGCCAUUCUAAAUUGUUAUACUAAUUGGCAAUUGUUGCAUAAUACCUAUAAACAUGUUCAUUUUCAUUGGCAAUUUUGACACGCGAUUCAGUUUGGUAAGAAAGAUUCUAUAGGCUAAAGAUUCAGUAGGAGCAAAACGAAACAAUCAAUAUGAGAAUUAAGUUUGGGGGGUAAAUCAUAAUAAAACUCAUUUUCUCACCCCUUUGAUUGAAGUGUAAAUGAAGAAAGGGGUGUACCAAUAAUUUAUCCCACCUUACAACAAAGUCUCAGUCUCCAAUUUAAUAAUAUGUUCCAUUGUACCAAAGAAAGUUAAAAAACGGUGGGGGUCAUGAUGGAGACUACGAUCAGAAGGAAUUUCCGUGCUCUUCGCGAGGACUUGUGGUGCAAGUUGUUGUGACAAAACAAGCUUUAAAGGGUUGUGUUGAAUUGUAGAUUGUUACUUCAAAAUAAUAGAAAAUUUAAAUUUUGAACUUUGUUCAUUUUCUCAAUUGCUCUGACUAGAUGAUGAUACAGUUGAUAGUUCAAAUACAUGAUGAUAUUUACUGAGGUCUUAAAAGCACUUUGAAAAUGUUGUAGAGCCUAACAAGGUCUAAAUCCAUUAUUAGGUUUAUAAAUAUAUGAUUCUUAGAUUUCUUAAGUACUGAUGUAAUAAAUGUGGACCUAAAACAAUGCUUGAUAUUGCCCCAAAAAUAGUUCUUGAUUCUUUUCGGCCCUUCGAAAAAUACUUAGAUCUGCCUUGGCUGUGUGAAUCAUGUUUUCUGUUCUGCUUUGGGAUAUAUGAUAACAAUCUAGUCUCAUUUUUAUUAUGGCUAGUGGUUCUGCUCUUGAUAAAAGUAUAAAACAGCAUCAGGUAUAAAGUAUGGGGAGAAGUGAACAUUGUAAUUAAUAAAGAGAAACCCAUGAGUAAGUGAAUUCAAUAUCAUUACACAAAAAACAGAAGACAUGAUCAUUUUGAUGGUCUAUACUAAUCAAUUGUACAAAAUUUGACCACUAAUUGAUGUUAGUCAUCUAGAGUGUGAGAUUUAUAGCCCAUUCAUUUUAUGUUGGAAAACAUCUUCGGUGCAAGGAAUUGUGAGACCGCCCAUUGGAUGAUCAUAUCCAAACUCUUGCUCGGCUUGACUCAGUAAGUCUUGGAAUGAAGGUUUGUUCAAGUAUGAUAUUGGGAUGACAAACCGCUUAUGCUUCUCUCCAACAUACACUGCAAGAUACCCCUUUGGCACUUCCACACAUUUUGAAGAUGCUUGGAUGGCACUGAAUGAUGCCCUUCGAAUAGCAGGUAAACGGAAACCCAUAUUUUUUGUUUGUUUGAAGGAAGAACAAAGCAAAGUUUUCAAAUCUGAGAAGAAAGUGUGUAAGUUUUAAUGCUUCAAGCUGCAAAUGUCUUAUGUUGGUUGUGAAGGCAAGAGGGUGUUUAUUUAUAGAUUUUAAGGGUCUUUAGAAACUCAAUUCAUAGAGAAAUAAUUGAUGAAGGGGUUAAAGGCUAGGGGCAUGCAUAAGAGAGUUCACAUGGUCUUGUCUAUAGAGGACUCUAUCAAGUACUAAUAACUUGUCUAAGAGUG